GACGAACGCUGGCGGCGUGCUUAACACAUGCAAGUCGAGCGGUAAGGCCCUUUCGGGGGUACGACGAGCGGCGAACGGGUGAGUAACACGUGGGUGACCUGCCCUCAGCUCUGGGAUAAGCCUGGGAAACCGGGUACUAAUACCGGAUAUGACUCCAUGACGCAUGUUGUGGGGUGGAAAGCCUUGUGCGGCUGAGGAUGGGCCCGCGGCCUAUCAGCUUGUUGGUGGGGUGAUGGCCUACCAAGGCGACGACGGGUAGCCGGCCUGAGAGGGCGACCGGCCACACUGGGACUGAGACACGGCCCAGACUCCUACGGGAGGCAGCAGUGGGGAAUCUUGCGCAAUGGGCGAAAGCCUGACGCAGCGACGCCGCGUGGGGAUGACGGCCU
rnacentral:rRNA from 1 species